ACAGAUUAUAUGACCAGUGACGACAUAUCGUCACAACUUUCUCCCUUUCAAAAAACUAUGCAUUAUCUGAUACCAAUGACGACAAUUAGAUCCAUUGAAAAUAACAAAAACAGAUUGAGAAAUAUUAUUCUUGUCAAUGAUAUUCGCUCAGUAAAUUAACAUCAACCAAAAAAGAAGCGAAAGACAAAGGAAGAGACCCAACAGUGAUGAAACAAUAUUAAUUGCUUUGAACAAAUUACUACGAGAA
rnacentral:lncRNA from 1 species